GAUAUCCGAUUAACGUGAUUUUUUACAGACUUAUAGUACUCGACGAGUUCUACAUAUUGAACGGUUUAGAUUAUCAAAACGGGACCCGUAAUGGGCCUCCACGGGUCCAACAGCACGGUCCAGUCUGAUUAAGGACUGAACAGAAGCCAAGCCCUUAUAUUUUAUAGUAGUAAACGAUCAAUUAAGAAAAAACCACAAUUAAUACUCAAGUGAGAAGCUCAAUUGUCAAAACUAAUAAUAUUAAUUUCACUUUCAAUAAAGGUAAAUUUCUUUCUCUACAGUGUAAUAUUCAAUGCCUUGAGAAGAAAAGUAUUUAAAUUUUUAACAUUUUUUAAAAAUAUUUAAUUUAUUUAUUAAAUAUUAAAUUUUAAAAUUUAAAUGCUCACGCCUUGACAUCUUAAGAUAUGCCUCGCCUCAUAAGAGGUCAAACGCAUCAAAUUACACAUUCAGCUUUAAAAACUUUGAUCAGAUGCUGUUAUUUGCAAAUUUCAGUUGGAUGUAUAUUUGUCGAAAUUAUAUAAACAUAGCUUUGUUGACAUGAUAAUGGAUGAUGAUGACAUUUUCUACAAGAUGGUUUUAGACUUUUUAGUGCUAUCAUGCACUCACCAAAGCACUCUUCUCUUCAACAAAUAAGAGUUAAGUGGAUGAAACUGCUCAUUCGCAAUGGAAAGUCAUGAACUACAGGAAAACAUCAUUUCAUCAAGGUAGCUUCCCCAGUCUAACACCUUUACGCCAUGACCAUGACUCCGAUGGAGAUUUGGGCAGAGGUGGAAGCAACAGUGCCUUCCGGCAGAGACCAAAAGGCCACCCCUUACAGUGACAAAACUCUUGAAUAAUUGAGCGCCGACGCAACAAUUCUUGAUAAUCAAUGCCAUGCCAGAACUCCUGAACGACAAAGGGCCUGAAAUCGCGACAAUCAAGCCUGCUUAAGCUUGAACACCGAGAAAAUUGUGUCUUCACAGACAAAAAUUCUUCCACACUUGUAACUGUCGAGCAGCGAGAGAGACAACUGCCAACAGAGAAGAAGUCCUCUUUUUCUUCAUGAUCACCGUCCUCAUUUUUUUGCAUUGACUUUGGAGUUGUGAACAAUUCUACGGUACUUGGAGAGAUGAUCCAGUUAAAGCUAUCCAUCGAAAAGCUGGCUUUACGUCUUGUUUUUGCUUCCAUUGCUCUGCUUCGAAUCUCUGAAACAACUACCUGAAAGAAAGAUCAUACCCAGUAAGCUUUUAACCCAAAAAAAGACAAGUAUGUUGCCAGAAAAAUGAUCUUGAACUUGAAUGAGCCUUUGGGAUUUUAGAAACUACUUCUUGAUCAUCAUCCGCAUUGCUCCCUGAAUCCUCUUCAUCCGCGUUUCUUGAAGAAAUCCGUCCACGGCACGUUUGGCACUUGGCAAAAGCAUCCUUGAGGGUUGAGGUGAGGAAUUUGCAUCUGCUAGUGGGAUUUGGUGGCUCCUCAUGAUAAAGUAAGCUCAUUGUUGGAGAAAGUUGGGUGGAAAUUAUUGAUGGGUUUGUGGGUUAGAAUGAUAUUAUUAUGUACAGAAGUGAAUAUUUAUAAUUCAUGUUUGGUUUGAUGUGAAAA